UACGUAGGGUGCAAGCGUUAAUCGGAAUACUGGGCGUAAAGCGUGCGCAGGCGGUCCGUUAAGACAGAUGUGAAAUCCCCGGGCUUAACCUGGGAACUGCAUUUGUGACUGGCGGACUCGAGUAUGGCAGAGGGGGUAGAAUUCCACGUGUAGCAGUGAAAUGCGUAGAGAUGUGGAGGAAUACCGAUGGCGAAGGCAGCCCCCUGGGCCAAUACUGACGCUCAUGCACGAA
rnacentral:rRNA from 1 species